GACGAACGCUGGCGGCGUGCUUAACACAUGCAAGUCGAACGAAGUGGCAAACGGGUGAGUAACGCGUGAUCAACCUGCCCUUCAGAGGGGGACAACAGUUGAAAACGGCUGCUAAUACCGCAUACUGAAGGAGGGAGGUGCGUCGGGAUAGCUAGUUGGAGGGGUAACGGCCCACCAAGGCGAUGAUCAGUAGGCGGGCGGGAAGGUAGAACGGCCACCAUGGGACGGAGACAAGGCCCAGACUACUACGGGAUGCAAGAGUGGGGGAACAUCCGCAAAGGACGAAAGUCUGACGGAGUAACGACGCCUGAGAGAUGACGGGCCUCGGGUUGUAAAGCUAUGUUAAUCGAGAAGCGGUACCGGAAUAGAAAGCACCGGCUAACUACGUGCCAGCAGCCGCGGUAAUUC
rnacentral:rRNA from 1 species